UCUAUUUGAAGAUAUAAGAAGUCUGGCCUGCCCACUGAAAGAAAGAAAAUAUAAAGGGCCGCGGUAAUAUGACCGUGCAAAGGUAGCAUAGUAAUUAGGUUUUUAAAAGGGAUCUUGAAUGAAUGGUUGGACUAGGAUGAAAGCUGUCUUAAUUUCAGGGAUUAAAUUUUACUUUUGGGUGAGAAGGCUCAAAUGUUCUAAGGGGACGAUAAGACCCUAUAAAACUUUAUAUUAAGAUUGAUUUAAUUGAAUUUUAUAAAGUAUAAAAAUUUUAUGAAGUUAUUAUUAUGUUGGGGAGAUAUAAGUAUAAAUGGGAUUAACUGCUUAAUAAAUAAACACUUUUAGUGUGUAAAUUUUAAUAGAUCCUGGUUUUUAGAUUUUAAGUUUAAGUUACUUUAGGGAUAACAGUAUAAUUUUUUUUAAGAGUUCAUAUUGAAAAAAAAGUUUGUAACCUCGAUGUUGAAUUAAAAUAUCUAUAUAAUGAAGUUGUUAUAUAAGAGGGUCUGUUCGACCUUUAAAUU
rnacentral:rRNA from 1 species